GUCUUCAUAGCUGAGUUGGUGGAGCACUGCAGCGCUAAUGCAGAGGCCAUGGGUUCGAAUCCCGUUGAAGCUCCGAAAACA
rnacentral:tRNA from 1 species